AUUGAACGCUGGCGGCAGGCCUAACACAUGCAAGUCGAGCGGAGCGGCGGACGGGUGAGUAAUGCCUAGGAAUCUGCCUGGUAGUGGUGGAUAACGUCCGGAAACGGGCGCUAAUACUGCAUACUAUCAGAUGAGCCUAUGUCGGAUUAGCUGGUUGGUGGUGUAAAGGCCUACCCAGGCGACGAUCCGUAACUGGUCCUAGAGGAUGAUAAGUCACACUGGAACUGAGACACGGUCCAGACUCCUACGGGAGGCAGCAGUGGGGAAUAUUGGACAAUGGGCGAAAGCCUGAUCCAGCCAUGCCGCGUGUGUGAAGAAGGUCUUCGGAUUGUAAAGCACUUUAAGUUGGGAGGCGUUACCAACAGAAUAAGCACCGGCUAACUUCGUGCCAGCCGCCGCGGUAAUAC
rnacentral:rRNA from 1 species